ACGCCUCUUCUAAUGACAUUUUUUUCUUUUUCUUUUCUGUACGAGCGAGAGGAGAGACCCUGCAACACACGCCACCUAUCUUUGUGGGGAGGGAUAAUUGGAGAGCACCAAACAUAUGGAUCAGGGGUGAGAUGGGCUCUUUUCUUGGCUCUGCUCUUUCUUGGAAGUAGCUGGAUGAGCAGAGAGACAGCGUGGACGAGUAACGCGUGGGGCUGAACUUCAAGGAGGUUGGAAAUGGGUGCAGCAAAGGCACCAGGCAGAAUGUGGGAAUGCUGUUUGAUGUUCACCAAGAGGGUCCACACGUCAGUGGGUCCACCUGCCAAUGGGCCUAACGACAAAGAGGUUGUAAAUGGAUGUGGCUUCCCAAAUUCUGAGCUAGGGAGGAGGCAACGUGGUCUCUGGAAUAAUUCUGAUUAUUUAGCAGUUGACUUCGACGUUCGGAGUGUUGCAUAUCAAUCCCCGAGACCAAAAUAUGCCACUCAUGUUUUUCCUGCUAAGUAAUCUAUGGAUGCAGCACCUAACCCUGCAGCCCUCCUCUGUGCCUCAGAGAGAAGGGAGAUGUGCUGAAUCAAGUUGUUGAGGCUGUACUUAGAGCUGAAGAAAAGAUGAAAAAACCAAGAGACCACCUUUGUUCUCAUCCAGCUUGGCCUCUGCCACGAUACAGGAACGUGACAACUGCUUUGGUAAUUAAAACUCUGCCUGCAAAAGGUACCAGGAAAAGAAAGAAGUGAAAAUAAGAUGGCUUCUCACAAGUGUGAAUGUACCAUGAACGUAUUGCACAGGCUACAGAUGCUUUUCAGAGGCCUGGGGCCUGCCUUGCAACAGCCCUGCCAUUCCAGGAUGAGCCUCUUGCCUCAGCAGCCGCUGUCUGUCGAGCCAAAUUGUAUGAUUGCUUUGUGAUAUGGAUAUAUGUAGACUGGGGGCUAAAUUAAGGACAUUAAACUCAAUUUCCUUAAGAUAGGAGCCAGAUUUUAAUAUUGCAGCUGUCCAGAGGUGAAAGGGUAAUGAGGACAUGAGGAAUUCCUGGACAGGAAAGGGACACUUGGCCCAACAAGUCUGUCCCCCUUCAAGUUUAUUACAACACACCUCCCCACGUUGUCGAUAUAUCCUCCAGCCCUGUCUGCCUGUGUAAACAUGUCUGGCUAUCUCUUCUGUUCAUUAAUACUUCAGUUCACUCCGUGGUUUUAUUUGACAUAAUGCCUACUACGCUGUGAGUUGGAUCCUCUGCAAGAAUUCACUGUUUAUUCUUAGACCUUUCAUUUUUAAUUGGCAUAAUCUGUUUUAUUUUCCUUUUUUAAACUCACCAGAUACAGCCACUACCUCAGCCCUCAACCUAAUUAUGAAAAUAUUAAUGUUUAGGUCUUUUUUAAAAAAAUGAUUAGGCUCAGUCUUCGUUUAUAUAAAGUAUCUUUAACAGCCGGAAACAACAAUUGCUUCAUAUCUUAUUCCUAUUUCAGUCACUAAAGUUCUCCUCUGGAAAAAGGUGAUCAGAAUUGGAAUUACUGGAGAAAAAUCUAUCACCUUCCUUGUGUGAUAAGAGCUCUUUUGAUUUGCAGGCAAUCCUUUGCUGGAGUGUCCAUAUCACACUUUAUUUAUACUGAAUUGGCAUUGAUUCAAAAUUGAUGUUUGACAGAUUCAGUACAAUUUUUAAGGUGGAGCGGGACUUUUGGGAGUCAAGUAUUAACUUAUAAUGAUAUUGUAAAGUCAAGAAAUAGCCUUGAAAGCUGGUGGGAGGGAAAAAAAUCUCACAAGGAAUUGGUACAAUUGCAAAGAUUUCUAACUGCUAACCAGUCUCCACUUGCUAAAACCCAUCUCCCUUUAAAUUUUCUGCUUGCAAAGUUGAGAGGGAAUUAGCAUACAGAUGCUUCCUCAGACGUGAAAAAACCUGGGUCUUUCCUUUCCUCUGAGGCAACUCAAAGGAGAAUGUCAUUAAAGCUCUCAACACAAAUAGUGGGGAAAGAAACACAAGUCACAGAUAAACCUGAGUGAUUUUCAAAUUUCAAAGGUUGAUAGGCUGGUGAAAUAAAAACACUUUGGGUGAAGUAUGAAGUGGGAAGAAGGCAAAGUAGAUCACUGUGAUGCAAGAUCAAGAAAAAGACUCUUAGGUUUGUUGUUUAAGUGCAUCCAAAUCCCAGAAAUACAAUGUAUUAACAAUUAUUCUGAUAUCUAACCAUACCCUGUAACUUAGGGAAGCAACUUGCUCUUAUGGUGAGCAGAAAGUUUGAUUUAUUUAGAGAUUUUCCCUUGAGAAAAGAGGCACUGCUAGCAAAGGUUGUUUAGGGGAAGAAAUUCUGCACCAGUGUUGAGAAACACUGAGGUUUUAUUCAGGAACUAUGAUGGCAGUGCUGGGUGGACAGGGGACUUUGAGAAACUUGGAAACGGAAGAAAUAUUAGAAAUCUCUAGGUUUCAGGCAGGUGAAGAAAGAGUUAUGACAGAAAUGAAAACAUGGACAUGCAGCUGGUUAAAAAAAUAAUCAGUAAACAAUAUCUGGGAGACACAGAAAGCUUCAGCUUUAUAUCCAGGAUCCACAGUGAUGAAAAAUACUCUGUAAAAGUCUAAAAAAUCCAGCCUUACCGGGGAGCUGGUGAUCCAAAGAGGAAUCAAAAUUGCCACCUUAGGGACAAGACAAUGAGAGACAUAAAAAGCAUUUCUCAUGGCAUCUCUUGGGCACUCAUAGCUUAAAAUCUCUUGAUUUUUUCAUCCAUACUAUAAGAUACUGCUCUGAAAAAGUGGAAGUCAGUGUAGUGGCUUCCAUAGCACCAGACUGCUUUUUGUGAGGGUCCUUCCAUAAUGAUAAUAAAGGAAUUAUUGGUGAAACGUG